rnacentral:rRNA from 1 species
UUUUAGUGGCGAACGGGUGAGUAACACGUGAGAAUCUGCCUUUAGGAAGAGGAUAACAUUUAGAAACAUUUGCUAAUACUCUAUAUGCUUUACAGUGAAAGAAUUUAUUCGCCUAAAGAGGAGCUCGCGUCUGAUUAGCUAGUUGGUGGGGUAAAGGCCUACCAAGGCGACGAUCAGUAGUUGGUCUGAGAGGACGGCCAGCCACAUUGGAACUGAGACACGGUCCAGACUCUUACGGGAGGCAGCAGUGAGGAAUUUUCUGCAAUGGGCGAAAGCCUGACAGAGCAAUACCGCGUGAGGGAUGACUGCCUACGGGUUGUAAACCUCUUUUCUCAAGGAGGAAGAUCUGACGUUACUUGAGGAAUAAGCAUCGGCUAACCCUGUGCCAGCAGCCGCGGUAAUACAGGGGAUGCAAGUGUUAUCCGGAAUUAUUGGGCGUAAAGCGUCUGCAGGUUGAUCUACAAGUCUUUUGUUAAAUUUUCAGGCUUAACCUGAAGUCAGCAAAAGAAACUGUUUAUCUUGAGUAUGGUA